AAAGAUUCAUACUGCAAGCUGCCUAAAUGCAGGGCUUUUAAUGAUGUUCCCCGCCAACAAGGCAUGAAGAUGGGGCUUGCCUCCAUCUGGCCCUCCUGCCACCUUCAGCAACACGCCCCACAUCUGAUCCUGCUUACAGUUGAAGAUGAAUCUGGCAUAAUACAAAGAGCACUGGACCAGAAGCAUGAAGUUUCUCUUAUCUGUGCCUUGGUUUUCUCAUGUGGAAAACGGAAAUGCUGACAUAAAUAAUCCCACAGGUCUCUGCUAGUACCAUUUUGUGAUUUUAUAUCGUGCUUACCACACCUAGAAACAGGGGCCAUCAUUCCAGCCAGCUAACAGAGAAAAAUAAGAUAAAUAAUCAGGCUUGGGAAAAUACAUUUCGUAGACCAAGUAAACAAAGACAACAAUCUAGUAUAAGUGUUAUAACUGGGGGAUGAGGGGUUGCAAAUGGAGAUCCACCACAGUCAACUCUACUUGAAUUCCCCUGUUCUUGACAGGCAGCAGCAAUCAUAAUGGACUUGGAGCACCAGUCCCACAACAUCACAGGACAUCCAGACAUAAUUGCAUUAAUACUCGCACAACUAUCCGGUUAUUCAGCAUUGCCCAAUAUGUGAAUAAAGCUCUUAGGAAAAAUUAA